GGGGCUGUAGCUCAGUUGGCAGAGUGCUUGCAUGGCAUGCAAGAGGCCGGGGGUUCAAAUCCCCCCAGCUCCACCA
rnacentral:tRNA from 1 species